UUCUAAUCUCUCGAGGGCAGAUUCAAUUCGGCCAAUGAAGAAUCAAUAGAUAAACACCACACCUAUAUACAUACAUACGGAGAGAGAGAGAGAGAGAGAGAGAAAGUAUACAUACAGGUGAUGGCUACGAUUCGAUGGAGCCUGAGAUGUGUCUGUUGGAAUUCACGAAGAUGGAAGCAGACACAACCAUAAAGUCAAGUCUGAUUGAUGUCGUCCCAGUCCCACAUCGAAACUUCGACGUUAUAGACAUGGAGUUUAUAAGAAAGAAGAAAAGAGAAUACGUUGUCCCUUCGGGGACAUCCGAUAAAAUUGGAACGAUACAGAGAAGAUUAGCAUGGCCCCUGCAUCAAGGAUGACACGCACAAAUCGAGAAAUGGUCCAAAUUUUUUUCUACCUUUUUGCUUUGACAAAUUUGCAGCAGAAUAAUCGGAGAGUUAGGGUUUCGUACACUUUUUUGUCCCAAUUUCUUUGAGAAAUUUGUACAAUCAUCGAACAGAUGGCCUUUCUUUUUGCAGGAAUGUAUUUGUUGUAUGUAUUUCGCGAUCUCCUCGAUGCCGAUGACUUCAGGGACAUUCUCUUCAACAACAGCAGCUGAUUAGUAACUGUUUACAAUUGAUUCUAAAUUUAUUUUUAUUAUUGUUUUUUUUUUUUUUUUAAAUUUUUAUCCUCUUCUUCUAGACUUAAAAGCUACUAGUUUUGCUUCAAUUUCGUUUGUCCAGAAUGAGUGACUUUCUAGGGUUUUAACGAGCUUGGAAAAGGACAAAUCACUUCAAAUUAAACUUGUGUUUCUGACUAAAAGUGCAUGACGUGUUCAUACCACUACUUGGUCUGGUUUAAUUUGGAUCUAUUUGAACUCUAUGGAGUCUCUAUGAUUUCAAUAGUAAGCUCUUGAUCUUCAGUUAAUUUUCUAGUUGACAUGUCAAUUUGCAGUUAGUGAAAUUUUACCUUUUAUCGUACCGCCGAGUAUAUCAUAACAUUUCAGCAACUAGUUUAAUCUAUUGAGCUUGCUUAUAAAUAAUGCACUCAAAUUUCAGAAUGUCUAGCUUGAAUCCUGAAGAUGUAGUAGAAUAAACUGUAUACAUAGCAUUUCUUAAGCCCUUGUGGUAUGCUUGUAGGCAAUGUAUCAACAACUCAGACUAGAGUUGUAUGCCGUGCACAACACAUUUCAGUUACAAGGCACUGAAGGAAAUCAUCAAACGCACCCUUAUUACAUCUCUCUCUUCUCAUGUGAGAAAGCCUUAUAUUGCGCAAAGGCAAGGGAUAGCAUGGCGUAUGAAACCAUCAGCCACAAUUACUUUACAAGCUGGGGGAAACUCAGGCUGAUCCCUGAAAUAUAUAUAUAUAUAUUUCCUUUCUUGCUAAUCCAGUACAAGAUAAUAAAUUCUGAAAACUCAACCAACAGAAGCCUCCUGCAAUCAGCGCCACACCUUCUGGUUUGCAUAUGAAUUUCUUCAGUGAACUUCAGUGUGCAAUAUAUGUGAUGCAAAUGCCAGCUCUGACACCUAAGAUCGAAAUCACAGAACUUGAAGCGUUUGUCUGGCUUUGGACUUUCUGAGUACUUUAGACUUUGUGAUCAAGACGGUUUAUUGUAUGUGUUCAAUAAACCUUGAUGUAUUCUACUAAUUAGGCAAUUUCUAGUUUAUUAGGCAUAAAAAAGUAUGGUUUUGUGCUUUGGCACAUGCCCAGAAGAACACGAAGUUGUAUCAAUAUGUUGAGUGUUUACGUCUACAAUUGCAUGGGUUGAUUAGGUCCCAUUAGAGAGAAUCAAUUUAGAUUAACUUGGCUUACACUGGAAGAUUUUGAUUGUCUACAAUGAUUGUUUUAUCCAUAUGUUGCUUGCUUAAUAUCAUAAGCUGGCUAUUCAUCUUGUAUGUGAAUGCGGUGUUCUUCA